CAGAAACCUAAUAAGGAAAUGGUCCACGGCCGUCUUUGCUUUCUAAUCGCCUUCGGAGAAACAGGUUCCAAGGUUCCAAGUAGGGAGACUGAAAGUGAAGGUCAAGCUCAACAAACAGGACCUCCUAAUCCUGCCAUGUUGCCAGACCCAGUGAAGAGAGCCAAACUUGG